CUGACCAUGAGGGUCAGGCACAGGGAGCUGGACUAAGACUCACCACAUAGUUUGAGGGCUACCAAAUGCUGACCUCUACCUUCUGCUGCCUGGGUUUUCUUCAGUACUCUCUGGUUAUUCCUCUCUUUUUUUCCAUUCCUCAAGCAUCAAGGUCAGAAAACAGAGAAAUGCAGAGAGCAAAGUGAGCCCUCCUUUUAAAGCAUGGAAUUGGAGUCUCAGAGUGCAGCCUGGAUAAACAACAACCUUUUGCACAGGGGAAAACAACAGUGCCUGUGUGUCUCAGAAAGCUCAGCAUUUGUGCUGCUGAAUGGAGGAUGGUGGUGCUCCCUCUGCACGCUUCUAGUGUCAGUCACUAGAGCAGAGAGACAAGAAGGAGGGGACAGAAA